CCUCUUUAACGGCUCCCCAAGAAAUAAUCACUCAUUAUGUCACCAGGAGGAAAGAAAGGGAGUAUUUUGUGAAGCUGUCCCAUUCAAAGCCACCCCCGGAGGCCCAGAAGAGAACACAAAGCUGUGAACACUGCCGGGACCUGCCGGCUGAGACACAGAAGAGUCAACCCGAUUCAGGAAAACACUUUCAAAGACUGUUUUUUCUUGGCCAGAUAACAUUCCAUUUUGUUUCCGAGCGGCAAGGACAAUCUCUAGUUCGACUGUAAAGCUAUUCCUUCAAAUGUACAUUGUUAUCU